AUUGAACGCUGGCGGCAUGCUUUACACAUGCAAGUCGAACGGCAGCGCGGGCUUCGGCCUGGCGGCGAGUGGCGAACGGGUGAGUAAUGCAUCGGAACGUGCCCAGUAGUGGGGGAUAGCCCGGCGAAAGCCGGAUUAAUACCGCAUACGACCUGAGGGUGAAAGCGGGGGACCGAAAGGCCUCGCGCUAUUGGAGCGGCCGAUGUCGGAUUAGCUAGUUGGUGGGGUAAAGGCUUACCAAGGCGACGAUCCGUAGCUGGUCUGAGAGGACGACCAGCCACACUGGGACUGAGACACGGCCCAGACUCCUACGGGAGGCAGCAGUGGGAAAUUUUGGACAAUGGGGGCAACCCUGAUCCAGCCAUGCCGCGUGGGGGAAGAAGGCCUUCGGGUUGUAAACCGCUUUUGUUCGGGAAGAAAUCCUCUGGGCUAAUACCCCGGGGGGAUGACGGUACCGGAAGAAUAAGCACCGGCUAACUACGUG
rnacentral:rRNA from 1 species